UGACUCAGACUUGCCAUAUGGAGUCUGGGAUACACUUAUCCACCCCUUAUUCUAUACCAUUUACGUCAUGCUUAGGUCCUACCCUUACAAUACAUUCCAAUUAAUCACCAACCACCUUCCCAUUUUUUGAGAGAUAUAUAUACAUACACAACAUAGAUAUCAUUCCCUUAAUUUAUGGACCAUCUCCCUAAAAUGUCCAUUGGGUUCAUCUAGUCCACGGUUUUGGGCUCCAUCUGUCAUAACAAUCUUUCAGGGCAGGAGAGAUGGGGUCUGGUGUUGUGUUGUUGCAUGAUGAAGUCAGUUCUGGUUCCAUCCGCUGCACUUCCUCAGUUUCUUCAACAUUCAUUCUUCUUAAUUUGGGCGAUUCUUACUGCUAUACCAUUG